AAUAUACUUCCUCCAUCUCAAAAUUCUUGUCUUAGAUUUGUCUAGAUACGGUUCUUGUCUUAGAUUUGUCUACAUAUAUGCACAGAUUUGUCUAGAUACGGAUGUCCGUAUCUAGACAAAUCUAAGACAAGAAUCUUGGGACGGAGGGAGUAUAUG
rfam:Triticum urartu cultivar G1812 contig170731, whole genome shotgun sequence.